AUUGAACGCUGGCGGCAGGCCUAACACAUGCAAGUCGAGCGGAUGAAGGGAGCUUGCUCCUGGAUUCAGCGGCGGACGGGUGAGUAAUGCCUAGGAAUCUGCCUGGUAGUGGGGGAUAACGUCCGGAAACGGGCGCUAAUACCGCAUACGUCCUGAGGGAGAAAGUGGGGGAUCUUCGGACCUCACGCUAUCAGAUGAGCCUAGGUCGGAUUAGCUAGUUGGUGGGGUAAAGGCCUACCAAGGCGACGAUCCGUAACUGGUCUGUGAGGAUGAUCAGUCACACUGGAACUGAGACACGGUCCAGGCUCCUACGGGAGGCAGCAGUGGGGAAUAGUGGACAAUGGGCGAAAGCCUGAUCCAGCCAUGGCGCGUGUGUGAAGAAGGUCUUCGGAGUGUAAAGCACUUUAAGUUGGGAGGAAGGGCAGUAAGUUAAUACCUUGCUGUUUUGACGUUACUAACAGAAUAAGCACCGGCUAACUUCGUG
rnacentral:rRNA from 1 species